AAGCUGCUCCCAUGCGUCGUCGACCUCGGUCGACACCAUGCUCGCAGCACGGGGCCUCGGCUGCACCGCGGAAUCCUCCGCGCCGCCCCAACCCGUCCGCUCCGCACCGCCUUGCGGACGAACGCCGGCCAGGCGUCGGUGC
rfam:Pseudomonas sp. EGD-AK9 Contig_1, whole genome shotgun sequence.